GGGAAUCUGCCCUUGGGUUCGGGAUAACCGUUGGAAACGACGGCUAAUACCGGAUGAUGACGAAAGUCCAAAGAUUUAUCGCCCAGGGAUGAGCCCGCGUCCGAUUAGGUAGUUGGUGGGGUAAAGGCCUACCAAGCCGACGAUCGGUAGCUGGUCUGAGAGGAUGAUCAGCCACACUGGGACUGAGACACGGCCCAGACUCCUACGGGAGGCAGCAGUGGGGAAUAUUGGACAAUGGGCGAAAGCCUGAUCCAGCAAUGCCGCGUGAGUGAUGAAGGCCUUAGGGUUGUAAAGCUCUUUUACCCGGGAUGAUAAUGACAGUACCGGGAGAAUAAGCCCCGGCUAACUCCGUGCCAGCAGCCGCGGUAAUACGGAGGGGGCUAGCGUUGUUCGGAAUUACUGGGCGUAAAGCGCACGUAGGCGGACAUUUAAGUCAGGGGUGAAAUCCCGGGGCUCAACCCCGGAACGGCCUUUGAUACUGGGUGUCUUGAGUUCGGAAGAGGUGAGUGGAAUUGCGAGU
rnacentral:rRNA from 1 species